GAGUUUGAUUCUGGCUCAGGAUAAACGCUGGCGGCGUGCCUAACACAUGCAAGUCGAACGCGCUCUCGCAAGAGAGCGAGUGGCGGACGGGUGAGUAGCACGUGGGUACCUACCGUGAGGUGAGGAAUACCACCGAGAAAUCGGUGACAAGACCGCAUAGGCUCGGGCUUCCGAGCAAAGUCGCUCUUCGGAGAGACGCCCCACGAUGGGCCUGCGCCUGAUUAGCUGGUUGGUGAGGUAAUGGCUCACCAAGGCGACGAUCAGUAGCUGGUCUGAGAGGAUGAUCAGCCACACUGGGAUUGAGAACGGCCCAGACUCCUACGGGGGGCAGCAGUGAGGAAUUUUCGUCAAUGGGGGCAACCCUGAACGAGCAACGCCGCGUGCAGGAUGACACUUUUCGGAGCGUAAACUGCUUUUUUCGGGGAAGAGAUCGGACGGUACCCGAAGAACAAGCUCCGGCUAACUACGUGCCAGCAGCCGCGGUAAUACGUAGGGGGCAAGCGUUGUCCGGAGUUACUGGGCGUAAAGCGCCCGCAGGCGGUGUGCCAAGUUCAGACUGACAAUGCCUCGCUUAACGAGGCAGGGUGUAUGAAAACUGGCACACUUGAGGCAGAGAGAGGGACAGGGAAUUCCGGGUGGAGUGGUGAAAUGCGUAGAUAUCCGGAGGAACACCAAAGGCGAAGGCACUGUCCUGGCUCUGACCUGACGCUGAGGGGCGAAAGCGAGGGGAGCGAACGGGAUUAGAUACCCCGGUAGUCCUCGCCGUAAACGAUGACCACUAGAGGUUCGGGGUAUCGACCCCCUGAGUCUCGCAGCCAACGCGAUAAGUGGUCCGCCUGGGGAGUACGGUCGCAAGAUUAAAACUCAAAGGAAUUGACGGGGACCCGCACAAGCAGCGGAGCGUGUGGUUUAAUUCGAUGCAACGCGAAGAACCUUACCAGGAUUUGACAUGGCUUUGACCACUGUGGAGACACAGCUUCCUUCGGGACAGAGUCACAGGUGCUGCAUGGCUGUCGUCAGCUCGUGCCGUGAGGUGUUGGGUUAAGUCCCGCAACGAGCGCAACCCUCGUGGGUAGUUGAAUAUAUCUACCCAGACUGCCGCGAUCAACGUGGAGGAAGGUGGGGAUGACGUCAAGUCAGCACGGCCCUUACAUCCUGGGCGACACACACGCUACAAUGGCACGGACAAUGAGUUGCCAACCCGCGAGGGGGAGCCAAUCUCUUCAAACCGUGUCUCAGUUCAGAUUGCAGGCUGCAACCCGCCUGCAUGAAGAUGGAGUUGCUAGUAACCGUGAGUCAGCACAUCACGGUGAAUACGUUCCCGGGUCUUGUACACACCGCCCGUCACACCACGAAAGUCGGCAACCCCUGAAGCCGCUGGGCUAACCCGCGAGGGAGGCAAGCGUCGAGGGUGGGGUCGGUGAUUGGGGUGAAGUCGUAACAAGGUAUNCAAUACACNCNNNCNUGGUGUNCGGANGUCAUNAGUUGC
rnacentral:rRNA from 1 species